GUUUCAGCAGCCGCGGUAAUACGGAGGGUGCUAGCGUUGUUCGGAAUCACUGGGCGUAAAGCGCGUGUAGGCGGCCCACUAAGUCUGAUGUGAAAGCCCGGGGCUCACCCCCGGAAGCGCAUUGGAAACUGAUGGGCUCGAGUCUCGGAGAGGAGGGUGGAAUUCCUGGUGUAGCGGUGAAAUGCGUAGAUAUCAGGAGGAACACCGGUGGCGAAGGCGGCCCUCUGGACGAUGACUGACGCUGAGACGCGAAAGCGUGGGGAGCAAACAGGAUUAGAUACCCGCGUAGUCC
rnacentral:rRNA from 1 species